AGGAGGAACAACCACAGUGGCCGCAGCCAGCUCUGAUGCCCUGGAUUCAACUCCUGCAGUGACUAAGGAGCUCUCCGUCUGCAGGGCCUGGAUGCUCCGGGGGCGA
rnacentral:pre_miRNA from 1 species